rnacentral:lncRNA from 1 species
AAAUUAAUUUAUUGUGGUUAAUUUGAAUUUGCUUUCAACUGUUGAUUCUUUUACCAUUUAAUAUAGGCGAUGAAACAAACGAUUCAACUAAUAAAAAAUUUAUUUUCGGAAAUUAUCAAAAGCGGAUAAAAGAAUAAGCCCUUGACAUGCACCAUUUGCGAGUAUGAUGGUCUUGUGAAACAAUGAUAGUCCGUCGGAAGGGGGCGAUAAAUGACUGACCCAUGUUUUAUUAAGAGAGAGCAAUAUCUCUUGCACAUAAAAGUCACCCUUUUAGAUUUCGAAAAGAGCAGGCUAAGGCUACAAGGAAGCAUUCGCACCCUCAAAGUGGAAACGGAUUAAUAUAAGUUGUAAUAACUUGUUUCCCAAUCCACUAUAAAUAAAUAUGUUUAAACUAAAAGAAAAAGCAGCAGAAAAGACAGUGGUUUAAACUUUUUUUUUAAAUAUCCUGUUUCAAUCAAAAGAAAGAGAAAAUAUCUUUGCUCCAAGGGGAUAGUAAUGUAAAUGAAUAUUAUUUUUCCGUUUUAAUUUAACUGUACUUAAAAAAAAAUAUGUGCCGCUUUUGCAUUUCGGUUCUAUGCGUAGCAAGUCAAGCAAACCGCUCAUAUAAAUUAUGCUGUAUAAUUGAGCUGCACGAAAUAAAAAAAAGUACGACGUUAUUUAUACAAUGCAUGAAAAAUAACGUCAAAAUAACGUUACCAAAACUAACACCAACACCGUACGCGACGUCAUAUAUUUUAUAAAUUCACGAUGUUUUAAACACCUUUAAGAUACCAGCACUUUCAAACACUUUUACAAUUCUAAAUUGGAUUGUUC